UGUGCAAGUACAGAGGCAUAGAGGCACUGUCUGCAGUUGGGCUGGCUUAUGCCAUGAGACAAGUAAUGUGCAGAAUCGUGUUUGCAUUUAGAGUUUGGUGGUUUUAAUUCUGCUUUUAGUUAGAUACCGAUUGUCCUUUAAAGAGGUACACCAGGGAAGAGAAUUUGAAGGUAAUAAUAGAUAUGUUGUUGUCAUUUGGUUGAAAUUUUUAAAAUUACGUGGGUGACUUUUCUGGUACGUCGAGUUACUUAAUCCCAUGUCUUGAUAGGUUGCCAUCAGUAGCACAAAACCUGCAGUUGUUACUGAUGUCUGUAGAAAAAGUUUUGAAUGCCUGUUAGUGAAUUAGGUCAGUUAGGUUAGUUAAUCUCUUGAUAGUUGGAAUUAGGUGUUAAAUCUGGAUCUAAUGAGCUUAAGUUGACCUUUUGUGUCCAUAAAUAUGGUGUUACAAGAAAUCUUGAUUUGUUGCGCCACAAAUACUUUUUUUUCUUUAUGCAAAUACAUAAUGCAUGCUUUUUAAUACUUUCCCUAUAGGAACAUUGACCUCCAUCCUGAAGAAGACAUCACUUCCACGAUACUUUGACAUAGUCCCCUGGAAAUGAAGCAAGAGUCUACUAGAAAUGCUGCUUACACGGUGGACUGUGAAGUCAGCAGAACGCUGAGGACCAGAGCUGAUGCAAUAGCUGCAAGGCAAGUGCGUGGAGAAAAUGGGAAUUUGGAGCCGAAGCUGCAGACUUUGAGGAAGUCGCUACCCUACUACAAAUCCAUCCUUUCUGUUUGACAGCCUUAGAAGAAAAACAGAAGCCCUUGGCUGCCCAGAGCUCUCAACUCGACAAGGAGAAGCCCUGCUGCACUGCAGAGCCCAGAAGACAGCCCUCCAUAACCCAGAGGAGCAGAGAGAGGGGAAGGCCCGGCGUGAGUGCUGCCCACAGCCCUGGGCCAAAGGGCAG